rnacentral:rRNA from 1 species
UACGAAGGUCCCAAGCGUUAUUCGGAAUUACUGGGCUUAAAGGGUGCGUAGGCGGCGCGGAAAGUAGGGUGUGAAAUCCCUCGGCUCAACCGAGGAACUGCGCCCUAAACUACCGUGCUCGAGGGAGGUAGAGGUGAGCGGAACUGAGGGUGGAGCGGUGAAAUGCGUUGAUAUCCUCAGGAACACCGGUGGCGAAAGCGGCUCACUGGACCUCUUCUGACGCUGAGGCACGAAAGCUAGGGUAGCGAACGGG